CACAGGAGCCUGGGAGCAGCUGGGCCUCCAUCUGCCCAGGUUCCAGCCAGCAGGGGCGGCAGCACCUCCUUUGUGUCUGUGUGUCUGUGUGUGUGCCCGUGCAGGACCGCAGAAUGUCAUGCAGCUCCUCACCUGUGGGAGAGACAACCCAUUAGGAUGCGGGUGGAAGCAGUGAGGCUCAGCCCUUCUAAAGGGAGGACGUGGCAGCUCAGCUCUGGGACCGGAGGACCACAGCCAGCCCUUUUCUGCUUCCACUGGGGAGAGCUCAAGGGGGCAGGUAAGAGUAACGAGUCUCUCUUUGCCAGAUAUCACCUACCAGGGAAGUGGAAGAGAUGGGCCUGGAACCCCCAGUUUUUCGUUCUGGAUUUUUUUUUUUUCUUUUUCCUUCUUGAGACCAGACUGUUGACCAAGCCCAAAGCAGUAAACAGAAGACCACUCUGCCUGACCGCUCCCACAGUCCUGGGGCGGGGAAGGACGUCCGACCCCAGCCAGGCCUACAGGGAGAGUAGGUGUCAGUGGGCAUCCUGAGGCAACGAGAGAGUUCCUGUGGGUCCCCUCCAGGUCAUGAGAACUUCAGCAGGACUCUUCACCUCUCUGAGCCCUCAGUUUACACAGCUGAAAAUGGGCCUAUUACUUGUGCCCUGUCCAUGUCACAAGAGGCAAGCGCUGAGCGGGAGAAGCUGGGGUUGGUGCCCCUGAAGGAGCUGCGCCUGUCAACACCCAGGCUGCGGGCACAUCCCACGAGGGCCUCAGGAGGGUCGUGUGAGCAAAGACUCCAGCACCCAGAGGGGGCAAAGUCAGACCUCAGCCCCUGCCCCACGCAGGGGCCCAGCCCAGGCGAUGGCACCCCUGCCCUCAACAGCUACACACCUCCCAGUUGCCUCGGUCCCCUGAGCCAAGAAAGCUCCUACUAUCUCUCCACCUGAGCUCCUGGCAGCGCUCUCCGUCCUGACCUUGCUGUGUGUCUUUAGGUUCAACCCUACCCCUCUCUGACACGCUGGCUUCUCGGCCCUCAAAGGAGGGGAGUGGACACCUCACUCUUCAUAGCCUCUUCUGGCCCUGGAAAACCACUCCAGGCUCUCUCUGAGCACCUUGGAUGGGUACAGGUACAUCUGGCCUCCCCGGUGUAAGGGAGGCUGGAGAGGCCUGAGGCCGGGGAGGGGGAAGCCAGUUCCCCAUAUCGUGGAACUUCUAGUGGUGGCCAAGAGACAAGCCCGAUCGAAGAAAACACUUGUAGUUUCACCCAGACCUGAUUCAUUCAUUUCAUUACUCAUUUGCUUAGCGAGCACCUACAAUACGCCAGGGACCAUGCUGGGCUCUGAGCACAUAGCAGUGAAAAAGGUGGGCAUGGGGGCUCCCCGGUGGCCCCCAAGCUUGUCAUCUGGUAGAAGAGACAGCAGAGUCCACAAACAGAUUGACAUAGCGACAAUGUGUGAUUGAUGCUUUAAAGGUUAUGAAGGAGCACGGAGGCAGAGAAUAAUUGUGGAGGGGAGGGGAGAUUAAUAAUCUUUAGAUGAGGGGCUGACCCUGGCCUCUUCGAGGGGUGACCUUAGAACUGAGACCUGAAGGGUGAGAGGGAGCCAGCCACAUGUCUUCUUAGGUGAGGUGGGUGACUGUGCCAAGGGGCCCCAGGAAGCCCUCGUGGCGGAGGCAGAAUGAGACAGGAUGGGGGAGGCGGGAAUGCAGGGGAAGUGGGAGAAGCAGCCAGAUCUUAUAUGAAGUUUUACUUUUUCCCCAAGACCCAUGGAAGGCCCAUGAGAUGCAAGGAAGAGGCAGUGACUUGAUCAAACCCACAUUUUCCACAUAUUCGUAAGCUCCGCCAGCUCCUGUUUGCAACAGAGAUGGUUAGGGAGUGAGGGGGCCAGUGAGGAGCCUGACAGAGGUCUCCAAAGUGGGGUGCAAACACCCCAGGAGGUGUGCAAGGUAAUUCUCUGAGGGGAAAGGAAUAUUAAGAAUUGUUAUUUCUAUUUCCAUUUCAUCCAAGAAAAAAGGAAAAGAAUUCAGUUUUACCAGUAUUUAUAGAUUGACGCUGAUGUCCAUAUUUGGUCUUUAUGUCAAACAUUACUGCACGGAAGAUUGGGCUGACAGGCGGCCUUUUUCUUCGCUGUCAGCAUUUUGAAGAACUUUUCUCUUCAUGUGAGACCAGUUCAGCAGAUUUCUAGAUGAGAAUACCCUUCAAGUGAUUUUUCACCAAGUGGACAGAGGACUUAAAAAGAAAGCAGGAAAAAGAGGGAUGAAAAAGGAAGAAACCCUGAACAUAAUGCAUGCACUUGAAUCCAGAGCGAGGCAUGGUUGUGGGCCCUUCACUCCCUGGCAUCUGCUCCGACAGCCACCAGAGAAGCAAACACUGUGAUAAUCCAACUGGGUCUAAAAAGAAAAUGGUCCCCAAAGUUCAAAUAUGAGUGAGAAGACAACUUGCAAUAAGAAUUUAUAUCCACUAUCAUUACUAAUGAGCCUAACUAUAAGCAUAGAUUUUUGGUUUGCGAUCUUAGCUAAUGAUGGCAUAAAACCAUUCACACUUAUUAAAACAUUAAAAAAUAUUAUUUUAAUCUGAUUUAA